GAUGAACGCUGGCGGCGUGCCUAAUACAUGCAAGUCGAGCGAACAGACGAGGAGCUUGCUCCUCUGACGUUAGCGGCGGACGGGUGAGUAACACGUGGAUAACCUACCUAUAAGACUGGGAUAACUUCGGGAAACCGGAGCUAAUACCGGAUAAUAUAUUGAACCGCAUGGUUCAAUAGUGAAAGACGGUUUUGCUGUCACUUAUAGAUGGAUCCGCGCCGCAUUAGCUAGUUGGUAAGGUAACGGCUUACCAAGGCAACGAUGCGUAGCCGACCUGAGAGGGUGAUCGGCCACACUGAAACUGAGACACGGCCCAGACUCCUACGGGGGGCAGCAGUAGGGAAUCUGCCGCAAUGGGCGAAAGCCUGACGGAGCAACGCCGCGUGAGUGAUGAAGGUCUUCGGAUCGUAAAACUCUGUUAUUAGGGAAGAACAAGUGUAAGUAACUAUGCACGUCUUGACGGUACCUAAUCAGAAAGCCACGGCUAACUACGUG
rnacentral:rRNA from 1 species